rnacentral:tRNA from 1 species
CAAAUGACAGCUGAGUCGUGAGAGCGCUAUACUGAAGAUCUGAAGGUCGCCGGUUCGAUUCCUGCUCGUUUCA